AGUGAACGCUGGCGGUAGGCCUAACACAUGCAAGUCGAACGGCAGCACAGUAAGAGCUUGCUCUUACGGGUGGCGAGUGGCGGACGGGUGAGGAAUACAUCGGAAUCUACUUUUUCGUGGGGGAUAACGUAGGGAAACUUACGCUAAUACCGCAUACGACCUACGGGUGAAAGCAGGGGAUCUUCGGACCUUGCGCGAUUGAAUGAGCCGAUGUCGGAUUAGCUAGUUGGCGGGGUAAAGGCCCACCAAGGCGACGAUCCGUAGCUGGUCUGAGAGGAUGAUCAGCCACACUGGAACUGAGACACGGUCCAGACUCCUACGGGAGGCAGCAGUGGGGAAUAUUGGAUAAUGGGCGCAAGCCUGAUCCAGCCAGACCGCGUGGGUGAAGAAGGCCUUCGGGUUGUAAAGCCCUUUUGUUGGGAAAGAAAAGCAGCAGGUUAAUACCCCGCUGUUCUGACGGUACCCAAAGAAUAAGCACCGGCUAACUUCGUG
rnacentral:rRNA from 1 species